UACAUCAUGUUGAAACAUUGGUUCCCUUAUGAUCACUGAAGUUAAGCAAUGUCAAGCCUGGUCAGUAUCUAGGUAGGUAACUGCUUGGGAAUACCAGGUGCUGUAA